rnacentral:sRNA from 1 species
UUCUAAAUGCACCAACAAUAUCCGCCACAGCCAGUGCAGUGGCCAGGAUUUUCUCCACAAGUGUAACCUGUAGCACAAGUUUUGACACAAACCAAAUUUUUUAUUGCUCACUGUAUCUUAACAAAAAACAAUAUGCUGAAGAUGCUGACUGUGUGUUCCCGAUCCCUCAUGGUAUCACUGGGUCUUUUAACUGCACCGUGUCAUCACUGACCAGCACGUCACAAUUCAGUCCUUACAACACAAUCACGUUUUUCGACGAACCAACUGUACUACCAGUGUCAACAGUGCCACCUAUACCAAAUCAGUUCUACGCUUUACAGUGUAUCCAGGAUAUUAAUGGCCCCAUCAACUGGUUCAAGAACUAUGAUGAUGUCACCAGUAUAGGAACAAACAAUACACUCAGUGUGUUCAUCCGAAGCUCUGAGAUAAAAAACUU